CUUUGUACGAUAUAAUUAUAUGUCAUUUUUUAAACGAAGGAAAACGACUUAAUAAUACAUCAAUAAGUAUUUUGGCGAAUAAAAUAAUUGAAAUUUUUGAACGAGAAAGGAAGUCUUAUUACGUGAGCCCUAUUGGAAAACGUAAAUCAAGACAUAAUAAACCUGAAGUAGCCAGAGGAAAGUUAAUCGAUAAGCAUAGAAAUAAACUAACUGUAAUAAGGAAAACUCUAAGAUCUUCUGCUUCAACAGUCCAAAUUAAACUAACUAUAUCACAAGAGGCAAAGGACAGCCAGAUAUGGCUAACGCAUAAUAAAGGACCAAAAAAUGAUGUUUUGGAGCAUUGAAAAAUAUCGUUUCCUAUUAAAAAAUAGAACAAUUAACGCCACAUGAAUUUUUUGAGCAAUGACCAAUUUUAAAAACACAAGUUGCCAUUGAUUUAGUUAAUUACGAUUUUGGAGAACAAUUUACCCACUUGAAAGAACCAUUUGACAUUGCUCAGAAAUUUGAAGACUUUUUCGACUAUGUAUAUAACAAACGUAAAACGCUACUGAGAGAGUGUGAUAAAUUUUUAUUCCAUUUACUUGAAAAUCAAAUAACAAUAAGUAAGUCGUAAUGUAGUUAUAACAAUAUUCCGCUAUUUUAUAUAUAAGGCUUUUCUUUCUCACGGAAUUUUUACUUUAC